AUGGCCCCCGGGUCUACUUUCCAUCAUAUAAAAUUUCUGGCACCGUUGCCGGGGAGAUCUACGACAAGUCAAGACAUACCAAGUAGCCAUCAUAAACUCUCAUCCCUUGGCUUGCAGGGCAAGAUCAAGAGUCGCGCUAAUCUCGUGGACAGGCCAGCCUGGUACAAGGACAAGGUCUACCCAGAGAACAAGGUACCUGCCCUGGAGCACAACAAGCAAGUGAAAGGAGAGAGCCUGAAUCUGCUCAAGUACAUCGACGACAAUUUCGAUGGCCCAGAAUUGCUCCCUCAUGAUUCUGCAAAGAAGAAAUUUGCCACGGAACUGCUUGCCUACAGCGACAGUUUCAACGCCAGCGCUUUCUUCUCAUGCCUACGCUCCAAGGGAGAUGUGACCGACGAAGCUGUUGCCGCUGUUGAUAAAAUAGAAGCUACCCUGGGAAAGUUCAGCGAUGGCCCAUUCUUCCUUGGCCAGUUUAGUCUGGUCGACAUUGCAUACGUGCCAUUCAUCGAAAGGCUUCAGAUAUCAUAUUCUGGCAUCAAGAACUGCGAUAUCGUUGGCGGAAGACCCAACAUUGGCAGAUUCAUCCAGGUAGUUCCGAAUAAUGUUAGAUGGGAUAUAAUUAACUUCAUAUAUCCUACUCUGAGAACCAAACUAGACCCGCAGUUUUCGCUUGACAUAAUCAAGGAGAAGUUUGGGUGA
rnacentral:rRNA from 1 species